rnacentral:rRNA from 1 species
UACAGGGGGGGCAAGCGUUGUUCGGAAUUACUGGGCGUAAAGGGUCUGUAGGUGGCCAACUAAGUCAGACGUGAAAUCCCUCAGCUUAACUGGGGAACUGCGUCUGAUACUGGAUGGCUUGAGUGUGGGAGAGGAAUGCGGAAUUCCAGGUGUAGCGGUGAAAUGCGUAGAGAUCCGGAGGAACACCAGAGGCGCAGGCGGCUUGCUGGGUCUGUAUUGACGCUCAGACACGAAAGCAUGGGGAGCGAACGGG